AUGCUGAGAAUAGAAACCUGUAGGAAGCUGUUCUCGCACGUGACUGAGAUACCUCCCUGACUGGGUGUGAGGUGCUCAGACCAGCUGUGUCAGAGCUUUCCCCACCCUUUCCAGGUGCUAGGGCUUGUCCGUGUGGGGGUGUGGUGGACCAUUGACCUGGAAACCAAUCACUGACAUUGACUUUGGAAUGCUCUCUCCCUUGACCUUCAUUGGAUGGAAUUUUCCCCUAAAUUUUUUGUUCCCCAAUAAAAGCCCACUCUCUGGCGUGCUUCUUCCUCUCUCCUGCUGGUCUCUUGUGUAAACCUCGCUAUCGCCAGGUGGCUUGAGGCAGGAGCCGGGAGAAGCCAUCUCUGAGCUGGGCAAGAAAAAGGUAAAUUGAGUUUUAUGU
rnacentral:lncRNA from 1 species